rnacentral:rRNA from 1 species
GUGGGGAAUAUUGGACAAUGGGCGAAAGCCUGAUCCAGCCAUGCCGCGUGUGUGAAGAAGGUCUUCGGAUUGUAAAGCACUUUAAGUUGGGAGGAAGGGCAGUAAGUUAAUACCUUGCUGUUUUGACGUUACCGACAGAAUAAGCACCGGCUAACUUCGUGCCAGCAGCCGCGGUAAUACGAAGGGUGCAAGCGUUAAUCGGAAUUACUGGGCGUAAAGCGCGCGUAGGUGGUUCCGUAAGUUGGAAGUGAAAUCCCCGGGCUCAACCUGGGAACUGCUUUCAGAACUGCUGAGCUAGAGUACGGUAGAGGGUGGUGGAAUUUCCUGUGUAGCGGUGAAAUGCGUAGAUAUAGGAAGGAACACCAGUGGCGAAGGCGACCACCUGGACUGAUACUGACACUGAGGUGCGAAAGCGUGGGGAGCAAACAGGAUUAGAUACCCCAGUAGUCC